rnacentral:snRNA from 1 species
AUCGCUUCUUGGCCUUUUGGCUAAGAUCAAGUGUAGAAAAUUAUUUAACUUUGACUUCUUGCUUUUCAAGAAAAUAAGUAAUAUGUUUUAAAGGAUUGCUU